rnacentral:rRNA from 1 species
AGAGUUUGAUCCUGGCUCAGGACGAACGCUGGCGGCGUGCUUAACACAUGCAAGUCGAACGAGAAUCUACUGAAAGAGUCUUCGGACAAUGGAUGUAGAGGAAAGUGGCGGACGGGUGAGUAACGCGUGAGGAACCUGCCUUGAAGAGGGGGACAACAGUUGGAAACGACUGCUAAUACCGCAUGACGCAUAGAGGUCGCAUGAUCUUUAUGCCAAAGAUUUAUCGCUUCAAGAUGGCCUCGCGUCUGAUUAGCUGGUUGGCGGGGUAACGGCCCACCAAGGCGACGAUCAGUAGCCGGACUGAGAGGUUGAACGGCCACAUUGGGACUGAGAUACGGCCCAGACUCCUACGGGAGGCAGCAGUGGGGAAUAUUGGGCAAUGGGCGCAAGUCUGACCCAGCAACGCCGCGUGAAGGAAGAAGGCUUUCGGGUUGUAAACUUCUUUUAAGAGGGAAGAGUAGAAGACGGUACCUCUAGAAUAAGCCACGGCUAACUACGUGCCAGCAGCCGCGGUAAUACGUAGGUGGCAAGCGUUGUCCGGAUUUACUGGGUGUAAAGGGCGUGCAGCCGGGUCUGCAAGUCAGAUGUGAAAUCCAUGGGCUCAACCCAUGAACUGCAUUUGAAACUGUAGAUCUUGAGUGUCGGAGGGGCAAUCGGAAUUCCUAGUGUAGCGGUGAAAUGCGUAGAUAUUAGGAGGAACACCAGUGGCGAAGGCGGAUUGCUGGACGAUAACUGACGGUGAGGCGCGAAAGUGUGGGGAGCAAACAGGAUUAGAUACCCUGGUAGUCCAUGCCGUAAACGAUGAUUACUAGGUGUUGGAGGAUUGACCCCUUCAGUGCCGCAGUUAACACAAUAAGUAAUCCACCUGGGGAGUACGACCGCAAGGUUGAAACUCAAAGGAAUUGACGGGGGCCCGCACAAGCAGUGGAGUAUGUGGUUUAAUUCGAAGCAACGCGAAGAACCUUACCAGGUCUUGACAUCCGAUGCAUAGUGCAGAGAUGCAUGAAGUCCUUCGGGACAUCGAGACAGGUGGUGCAUGGUUGUCGUCAGCUCGUGUCGUGAGAUGUUGGGUUAAGUCCCGCAACGAGCGCAACCCUUAUUGCCAGUUACUACGCAAGAGGACUCUGGCGAGACUGCCGUUGACAAAACGGAGGAAGGUGGGGAUGACGUCAAAUCAUCAUGCCCUUUAUGACCUGGGCUACACACGUACUACAAUGGCGUUUAACAAAGAGAAGCAAGACCACGAGGUGGAGCAAAACUCAAAAACAACGUCUCAGUUCAGAUUGCAGGCUGCAACUCGCCUGCAUGAAGUCGGAAUUGCUAGUAAUCGCGGAUCAGCAUGCCGCGGUGAAUACGUUCCCGGGCCUUGUACACACCGCCCGUCACACCAUGAGAGCCGGGGGGACCCGAAGUCGGUAGUCUAACCUUUCGAGGAGGACGCCGCCGAAGGUAAAGCUGGUGAUUGGGGUGAAGUCGUAACAAGGUA